rnacentral:rRNA from 1 species
AUAAAUACUUAAGUAGUAGUAGUUAUGUUCUUGAAACUUAAAAAAUUUGGCGGUAUUUUAGUCUAUCCAGAGGAACCUGUUUUGUAAUCGAUAAUCCACGAUGGACCUUACUUAAGUUUGUAAUCAGUUUAUAUACCGUCGUUAUCAGAAUAUUUUAUAAGAAUAAAAAUAUUCAAUAAUUUAUAUUAAAAUUUAUAUCAGAUCAAGGUGUAGCUUAUAUUUAAGUAAUAAUGGGUUACAAUAAAAAUAUUUAAACGAAUAAAAUAAUGAAAAAAUUUUUGAAGGUGGAUUUGGUAGUAAAAUUAUAAAGAUUAAUAAUUUGAUUUUAGCUCUAAAAUAUGUACACAUCGCCCGUCGCUCUUAUUAUUAAGGUAAGAUAAGUCGUAACAUAGUAGAUGUACUGGAAAGUGUAUCUAGAAUGA